UACCAGCACCCCGAGUGGUCGGGACGAUUAUUGGGCCUAAAGCAUCCGUAGCCGGUCCUAUAAGUCUUCCGUUAAAUCCACCUGCUUAACAGAUGGGCUGCGGAAGAUACUAUAGGGCUAGGAGGCGGGAGAGGCAAGCGGUACUCAGUGGGUAGGGGUAAAAUCCUGUAAUCCUUCGGGGAGGACCAGUGGCGAAGGCGCUACACUAGAACGGCUCUGACAGUGAGGGACGAAGCCCUGGGGCGCAAACCGG
rnacentral:rRNA from 1 species